GCCUGUGAUGGAGCCUGGUAUUAAGAGUGCUGUAGCAGCUGAGAGGAAUCUGCUAGCGGGUCGAACAAGAUCCAGUGAUGAUAGAAGGAAAACCUCUGAACAGUGAAGAGAACUUGAAGCUGGACUGACCUGAGUUAUAACCUGUGUAGGGGACCCCCAAAUCCAUACCAUGGAUGUUCCAUUGGGUGAAGGCACUGCCACAGAUAUGUACCCCAGCUCCCAGGUAGUAAUGGGAAGGAAUGGCCUGCCGGGGGCAGAGAGGUAACAAGGAGAACUUCUCCCCAUCUGCCUCCUCCUCCUGCUGUCAGGAUGCUGUACGCGCGGGCUCUGCUGGGAGGUGUAGUCCUGCAGCAGCCAUCCCCCCGAUAGGCCCUGAUGAAGAAUUCCAGCCAGCCAGGACUACGCCUCCCACAAUGCCAUGCGGCAGGCUUCUCCCUCGGCACAAUGAUUGGCCUGUGGUCCUGAGGAAUGAUGUCAUUACAAGAAAGCAGAGAAAGACAGAGAGAACUCCCGAGCAUUCAUUGUGCAUGGAGCGGAGGACCGGGCUGCAUUGUCAUCACAACAUUGUCCCUCAGGACCCUCCUCGUCCCCCCAUGACCUGCUGAUCCCCUGUCCUUCUCAUCGUGUAUGCAUCCCCCUCAAG